UAUCUCAGUGGCAGAGCGCAUGCCUAGCAUGCAUGAGGUCCUGGGUUUAAUCCCCAG
rnacentral:tRNA from 1 species